AUGAACGCUGGCGGCGUGCUUAACACAUGCAAGUCGAACGGUAAGGCCCUUUCGGGGGUACACGAGUGGCGAACGGGUGAGUAACACGUGGGUAAUCUGCCCUGCACUUCGGGAUAAGCCUGGGAAACCGGGUCUAAUACCGGAUAUGAGCUCCUGCCGCAUGGUGGGGGUUGGAAAGUUUUUCGGUGCAGGAUGAGUCCGCGGCCUAUCAGCUUGUUGGUGGGGUAAUGGCCUACCAAGGCGACGACGGGUAGCCG
rnacentral:rRNA from 1 species